UUGACCUCGGAUCGGUAGGGAUACC
rnacentral:rRNA from 1 species